ensembl:misc_RNA 7SK 7SK RNA
GAAUGUGAGGGAGAGCUGGCUGUGACACCAUCAUCCCAUUGAUCACCAGGGUUGAUUCAGCUCGUCAGGCUGGCUAGGCGGGUGUCACCUUCCUCUCUGAUUGCUCCAUAUAUGUCCCUCCCAAAGCUUCACACUUAGUCAAAGAGGACGAACUUCCACAAUAGAAGAAGACUGUUCAUGGGUCAAAAGUAUACAAAUAUCCGUGAUCUCAAUGGAACCUCCAAACAAGGUCUCAAAGAGGAGACGGUGGGUGUACUAGCACCUUUUAUGCCCACACACAUGUCCUCAAUUAGCUCAUCUGU